CCCCUACUCACAGCUGUACAGGGUCUGAGCAACAAUGGCACAAACCCAGGACCCAGGGUUUCAAGCCUGGUCCAACAAAUGAGAUGGUAGUGUUGUCAGCUCAGCCCAAGGAGAGAAGAGUGGCUGAAGGAAUCAGGAGUAACUUAUACAAAGGAGCCUGUAACCUGACCUGUGACCUUCCAGACAUGUCAGUCCUUCGGUUGAAUGACAUCUACCAAGGCAUGCCAAGGGAAACUGCUCC